rnacentral:lncRNA from 1 species
GAUAUUCUGGGAGUGCUCAUUCAUUGAGAAUCGUAUUUGCUCUAUGAUUUUGCCUUGGCAUUGUGAGCACAUCUUGCUGAGGUCUUAGUUCUGCACUCUACGAUUCAGCUUUGGCUGUGCAGACACUACAACUUUUAGAUCAGAUCUUGACACUUUACGAUUUCUGUCAUUAUGCUUGUUGUCUUCAUCUGAUCUUUCUCGACUACGAUCUCUGCCUUUGAUAUGAUUAGUAGACUCUAC